rnacentral:tRNA from 1 species
GCAGUCGUGGCCGAGUGGUUAAGGCGAUGAACUAGAAAUCCAUUGGGGUCUCCCCACACAGGUACGAACCCCGUCGACUGCG